UGGGAGGUGACGAGAAAUGGUAUCUCCUCUUUGACCUAACAAGGGGUGUUUCUCUUAAAUUUGAUGAGGAAGGAAGACUCCACGCAGAAUAAUUUGAGAGUAAAAUAGGGAGAUGAAGAGGAUACUUUAGUUCGAAUUAAUACAGGUCAAGAAAAUUAGUCUUAGAUAAUUUAAGAAGUUGGGAGAAAGGGAGUGAUAAAGAACCUGUGUCUAGUGAUUUUGUUAUCAUGUUAUAUGUUGUGUAGUUAUAUCUAAACCCCUUAUAUCUUUAUGGUUUUUCGAUAAACUACUGGUGCUGGCCAAAAAUAUGCUCUUGGAUUUAGGAUUUGUAACCUAUAUGAUUCUUUCCCUUUUUAUUUAUACUUAAAAAUUCUGAUUGAGGUGAUAAUGCCAUUUUACUUCUUUUCAAAUUUCCCUGUAUCCUAGUUUUCAAAGAUAUAAAGUGAUAAAGUCUACGAUCACCAGCUCUUUUUUUCUGCGCUAUAAUAUGAUAGGAUUCUGAUUUGUAAACUUUCAGAGAAGUGGAAUGGUAAUAGAUCUAUAUGAACCUAGUUGUAAUAUUGCUGGGAAUGGAAUUGUUAUUUUUGUAUUGUAUAGCAGCCAUGGAAAAACACAAAAUGGAAACACAACAGAU
rnacentral:lncRNA from 1 species